rnacentral:misc_RNA from 1 species
AACGCACCUUGCACCCCUUGGUAUUCCGAGGGGCAUGCCUGUUUGAGUGUCAUUAAAUUCUCAACUCUGAUUUGAUUUGUUUCUAAUCGGAGCUGGACUUGGAGCGUGCUGGCGUCUAGUCGGCUCCUCUCAAAUGCAUCAGCGGAAUAUAACCUUUGGUUUCCGGACGUCGGUGUGAUAAUAAAGUUGCGCCGUCAUUCGACUUCAAAGUCCGCUCAUAAUGGUCUUCGGACGAACUCUUAUAUCAAAUUUGACCUCAAAUCAGGUAGGACUACCCGCUGAACUUAA